GAGAAGGCCAUUUUCUCCUAUUCUCACAUAUUUGUGCCUCAACAGAAGGAACAUCUAAUGCUGGAACACAUUUCCCUGCAGCUUUUAUGUUCUCUGCUCUGUGGGAUUGGCUGCCUCUGUACUGCAGUCAGGGUCCCCCACAUUGUACCUCAGCGAUUUCAAGAACAUCACCUGAUCAGGGAAAAAAACCAAAUACAUCCCUCUGGAACAGAGUCAGAAAAUGGUGCUGGCGCCUACAGAGAUUCUUGUCAACUGACUACAAACAGAAAAUAACAGUAUGCACUCAGAGACCUAGCACUUCUGCUGUUAGCACAAACAAGCAAAGAAACCAUUUUGCAAAAGAGCAAACCAAAUAAAGCCAACCAGGAGCCAACUACAGGAAAAACACAGCCCAUGAGCCUCUGUUCACACACACUUAGCCUGUCCUAAGCAGGCCCAGGUAUGAAAGCAUCUGAGGCAGACAGACAGCUGGACAUCCCCCCAUUCCCCUCCCAGAUUUUGGCUGUGCAAGGGACCUCUGGAAAGAAUAUAUAUUCUGUGGAGAAGUGUCUCCUACCACUGCAAGAAGUCAGGCCGAAGGCAGCAUCCACAAAAUGUGAAUUAUUGGCAAUGCAUACCUUUGCUUUUGUAGACCAUGCUUGCAGCACGAGAGCUGUGAACCAAGGUGGGAAUAUUGCUCAUCUCUGGAAUUGGCUCUAAUUCUGGCUUCCACCACAAACUUCAUGGCUCCUUUCAUGGGUGAUUUUGCUUCUUCUCCAGCAUCCAUAUUGCAAACAGCCUGAACACAUCUGAACAUCUGAAGAUGGCUCUAAGGGAGAAAGAAGAAGAGGAGCAAUAUUUUGUGGCAAAACUUUCCUUACAAUAUAAAUAUUUAGAGGGGUAUGAGUUCCUGAGGUGUUUAUUUAAAAGCACCUUCAAUUUACAGGCAGCUCCAGAAUCACUGCAUAAUAUACCCUUCAUGGAAUGAAUCAGUUUACACAUAAAUAUAACAACUUUUUCUCUUGUAUUUCUCUUUGCUUACACAAAACAG
rnacentral:lncRNA from 1 species